rnacentral:rRNA from 1 species
GUGCUGAGUGCACUCCCCACUUUUGCCCUGACUAUUUUGAAGAUGCCGAAGAAAAUACUAGCCGAGGUGGACAAGAUCAGAAGACGUUUUCUAUGGGCUCAAGAAGAAGUGAUCAGUGUCGGGAAAUGCAAAGUAAGCUGGCCGGUGGUGUGCACUCCGAUCGACAACGGUGGCCUGGGCAUCUCCAACUUGCAUCGUUUCAGCCGUGCACUCAGGCUCAGGUGGCUAUGGUUCUCUUGGCUCACACCCAACAGGCCCUGGGUGGGCAUGCAACUGCCAUGUGAUCAAGGAGACAGAGAUCUU